AGAGUUUGAUUAUGGCUCAGGAUGAACGCUAGCUACAGGCUUAACACAUGCAAGUCGAGGGGCAGCAUUGGAGUAGCAAUACUUCAGAUGGCGACCGGCGCACGGGUGAGUAACACGUAUCCAACCUGCCGCUUACUCGGGGAUAGCCUUUCGAAAGAAAGAUUAAUACCCGAUGGUAUAAAGAGUUCGCAUGUUCUCUUUAUUAAAGAAUUUCGGUAAGCGAUGGGGAUGCGUUCCAUUAGAUAGUUGGCGGGGUAACGGCCCACCAAGUCUACGAUGGAUAGGGGUUCUGAGAGGAAGGUCCCCCACAUUGGAACUGAGACACGGUCCAAACUCCUACGGGAGGCAGCAGUGAGGAAUAUUGGUCAAUGGACGCGAGUCUGAACCAGCCAAGUAGCGUGAAGGAUGACUGCCCUAUGGGUUGUAAACUUCUUUUAUAAGGGAAUAAAGUGAGGGACGUGUCCCUUUUUGUAUGUACCUUAUGAAUAAGGAUCGGCUAACUCCGUGCCAGCAGCUGC
rnacentral:rRNA from 1 species